CGGUAAGGAAGCGGGAGUGACUUAGCGGCGGACGGGUGAGUAACGCGUGGGUAACCUGCCCCAUACCGGGGGAUAACGGUUAGAAAUGACCGCUAAUACCGCUUAAGUGCGCGAGGCCGCAUGGCCGUGCGCGAAAAACUCCGGUGGUAUGGGAUGGGCCCGCGUCUGAUUAGGUAGUUGGCGGGGUAACGGCCCACCGUGGCGACGAUGCGUAGGGGUUCUGAGAGGAAGGUCCCCCACACUGGUACUGAGACACGGACCAGACUCCUACGGAAGGCAGCAG
rnacentral:rRNA from 1 species